rnacentral:rRNA from 1 species
CCUACGGGGGGCAGCAGUAGGGAAUUUUGCGCAAUGGGCGAAAGCCUGACGCAGCAACGCCGCGUGAUCGAGACGCCCUUCGGGGUGUAAAGAUCUGUCAGUGGGGACGAAACUUGACGGUACCCACAGAAUAAGCAUCGGCUAACUCCGUGCCAGCAGCCGCGGUAAUACGGAGGAUGCGAGCGUUAUCCGGAUUUAUUGGGUUUAAAGGGUGCGUAGGCGGAUUUUUAAGUCAGCGGUAAAAUGUCCGGGCUCAACCCGGGCCGGCCGUUGAAACUGGGGAUCUUGAGUGGGCGAGAAGUAUGCGGAAUGCGUGGUGUAGCGGUGAAAUGCAUAGAUAUCACGCAGAACUCCGAUUGCGAAGGCAGCAUACCGGCGCCCGACUGACGCUGAGGCACGAAAGCGUGGGGAUCGAACAGGAUUAGAUACCCUAGUAGUC